GUGAACGCUGGCGGUAGGCCUAACACAUGCAAGUCGAACGGCAGCACAGUAAGCGCUUGCUCUUACGGGUGGCGAGUGGCGGACGGGUGAGGAAUACAUCGGAAUCUACUUUUUCGUGGGGGAUAACGUAGGGAAACUUACGCUAAUACCGCAUACGACCUACGGGUGAAAGCAGGGGAUCUUCGGACCUUGCGCGAUUGAAUGAGCCGAUGUCGGAUUAGCUAGUUGGCGGGGUAAAGGCCCACCAAGGCGACGACCCGUAGCUGGUCUGAGAGGAUGAUCGGCCACACUGGAACUGAGACACGGUCCAGACUCCUACGGGAGGCAGCAGUGGGGAAUAUUGGACAAUGGGCGCAAGCCUGAUCCAGCCAUACCGCGUGGGUGAAGAAGGCCUUCGGGUUGUAAAGCCCUUUUGUUGGGAAAGAAAAGCAGCAGGUUAAUACCCCGCUGUUCUGACGGUACCCAAAGAAUAAGCACCGGCUAACUUCGUG
rnacentral:rRNA from 1 species